rnacentral:misc_RNA from 1 species
CGCACAUUGCGCCCUUUGGUAUUCCGAAGGGCACAUCUGUUCGAGCGUCAUUACACCUAAUCAAGUUUAACUUGGUAAUUGAAUGAACAUACUUGUCUUGAAAUAUAGACACAUUCAAAAGAUAUCUAGCAGUACCUAUCAGGUCUCAAGCGUAACAAAUUUAAAUCGUUUGUCAGACUUUAUUUGGAACUUGCAUUUUUACAUAUAUUUCAAAGGUUGACCUCGAAUCAGAUGGGGAUACCCGCUGAACUUAA